ACGAACGCUGGCGGCGUGCCUAAUACAUGCAAGUCGAACGGUCUUUCUAUGGAAGCUUGCUUCCACUGAGAAGAUAGUGGCGAACGGGUGAGUAACACGUGGGUAACCUGCCCAUAAGAGGGGGAUAACAUCCGGAAACGGGUGCUAAUACCGCAUAGUUUUCUUGAUCGCAUGAUUGAGAAAGGAAAGACGGCCUUUGUGCUGUCGCUUAUGGAUGGACCCGCGGCGUAUUAGUUAGUUGGUGAGGUAACGGCUCACCAAGACGAUGAUACGUAGCCGACCUGAGAGGGUGAUCGGCCACAUUGGGACUGAGACACGGCCCAAACUCCUACGGGAGGCAGCAGUAGGGAAUCUUCCGCAAUGGACGAAAGUCUGACGGAGCAACGCCGCGUGAGUGAAAGAAGGUUUUCGGAUCGUAAAACUCUGUUGUCAGAGAAGAACAAGUUGGAGAGUAACUGCUCCAGCCUUGACGGUAUCUGACCAGAAAGCCACGGCUAACUACGUGCCAGCCGCCGC
rnacentral:rRNA from 1 species